UCCGAGGAGGGGCACUUUGGAGAACUCUCAUUGGGAGGAGAAGGGGGAGCUGGUUUAUUUACAAUUAGUGUACCUAAGGACUUGUUUCAUGAUUACUGUAGAAGCAGAUGAUCAUGACCAGUUUCCCUGCUCAUUGCCUUACCAGCCAGGAGAUACUUAAAUUAGCUGUAUGUCAGCAUCGUGUUCAAGUGCAUCAGUGCCUCUCAGGGAUCCUAUGGUGUGGGCUGCUGGCUUUUCUUCUGGUGGAGGAUCAGGAUCAAGGCCCAAGGACCAAGGCCUUUUCCAGAAUCAUAUCUAUUCUCAAUUCUGGGACCCAAUAUAUCUGAAUGAAGAGGAAAAACAA